rnacentral:rRNA from 1 species
UACGUAGGGUGCAAGCGUUAAUCGGAAUUACUGGGCGUAAAGCGCGCGUAGGCGGACCUGUAAGUCGGGGGUGAAAGCCUGUGGCUCAACCACAGAAUUGCCUUCGAUACUGCAUGGCUUGAGACCGGAAGAGGUUAGUGGAACUGCGAGUGUAGAGGUGAAAUUCGUAGAUAUUCGCAAGAACACCAGUGGCGAAGGCGGCUGACUGGUCCGGAUCUGACGCUGAGGCGCGAAAGCGUGGGGAGCAAACAGGG